rnacentral:rRNA from 1 species
AGAGUUUGAUCCUGGCUCAGGAUAAACGCUGGCGGCGUGCUUCAGGCAUGCAAGUCGAACGACCCCCGACUUGUCGGGGGGAGUGGCGGACGGGUGAGUAACACGUAAGCAACCUGCCCAGAAGUGGGGAAUAACCCGCCGAAAGGCGAGCUAAUGCCGCAUGUGGUGUCAGGUCUCCGGACUCGUCACGAAAGGCUUCGGUCGCUUCUGGAGGGGCUUGCGUUCGAUUAGCUAGUUGGUAGGGUAACGGCCUACCAAGGUGACGAUCGAUAGCUGGUCUGAGAGGAUGGUCAGCCACACGGGGACUGAGACACGGCCCAGACUCCUACGGGAGGCAGCAGCAAGGAAUUUUGUGCAAUGGGCGAAAGCCUGACACAGCGACGCCGCGUGGGGGAUGAAGGCUUUCGGGUUGUAAACCCCUUUUCUCAGGGAUGAAUAAUGACAGUACCUGAGGAAUAAGCCAUGGCUAACUACGUGCCAGCAGCCGCGGUAAU